AACAACAAUAAAUUAUAUUGAUCACGGACAUUUUAAUGAACCGUUUAGUAUACAUGCAUUUCACAAAAAAAAAAAAUUAAAAAAAAAAUAUAAAAUUAUAUCUACAUAAUAUGUACCUACGUAGUAUCGUCGCGUGGUAUUUACAGAGAAAGCAAACGAUUUACUAUUAUUUAUUUCGAUAGUUGAUAUUAAUAUAAUUAUUUCAUAUCGCUUUUAAAACGCGAACGCUGAACCUGUAAUAUUGUACAGACACACCGAAAUCCUGUAUCGGUACUAUAUGCGAGGUUUUUAACGUGUACACGUGAAUAAUUACACGUGAACACGAAUUUCUUAAGUACACUAUUUUAUAGACUCGAAUGUUAAUUUCGCGUGAACACGUGAAAACGUGUAGGUGCAUGUGAAACAGGAAGCUCUAUAGUCAUUAAUCGUUUAUUCAACCAAAAUCAUGGUCAUAAGAGAAUCAAAUGUUUUCGUUAGUCGACUUAAGUGGGUUUCGGAAAAGAAAAAAAAAAAAACAAGUGGUAAAAAAAUCAAUAUAUUUAUAUUAAAUAUUGUAAUGCCAAAAGUAAUAUUGCUGGUUAGCACUACGUAAUAUUAUAUAUUACCACAUAAUAGUUGUAAUAUAAUAGUAAUAAUGUACAUACACUAUGUUUCAAUGCCGUUGACUAUAUAUUAUACGUCCAAUGAAAAUAUUUUAAAUGUUUUCACAAAAAUAACUGUCAAGAGCAAGUUAUCGAAAUCUGCGGUCGACAAUCGAAAGUAACAAAAAUGACUACUAUUUGUAGCGUAAGUACGGAAUAUACAAAAAUCAACUUAAAACAAGCAUAUGGCUAUGGCAUAAUGUAGUGGAAAAAAUAAAUCGUCUAAAUACUUUUCUCUCAAAAUACGAACAGUUGGAAAACGGAAAUUUGUAUUUAUACAAGCAUGAUUUAUAAUUUAUAAUUAUUUGUUUUUAAAAAUCAAUCGGUAAACUAUAUUAUUGUUAUAAUUCAAGUCAUAUGAAAUAAUAGUAAAUUGCAUCAUGCAUAGAUACAAUAAUAACAUAUUUGUAUU